AUGCACGCUGGCGGCGUGCCUAAUACCUGCAAGUCGAGCGAACGGACGAGAAGCUUGCUUUUCUGAUGUUAGCGGCGGACGGGUGAGUAACACGUGGAUAACCUACCUAUAAGACUGGGAUAACUUCGGGAAACCGGAGCUAAUACCGGAUAAUAUUUUGAACCGCAUGGUUCAAAAGUGAAAGACGGUCUUGCUGUCACUUAUAGAUGGAUCCGCGCUGCAUUAGCUAGUUGGUAAGGUAACGGCUUACCAAGGCAACGAUGCAUAGCCGACCUGAGAGGGUGAUCGGCCACACUGGAACUGAGACACGGUCCAGACUCCUACGGGAGGCAGCAGUAGGGAAUCUUCCGCAAUGGGCUAAAGCCUGACGGAGCAACGCCGCGUGAGUGAUGAAGGUCUUCGGAUCGUAAAACUCUGUUAUUAGGGAAGAACAUAUGUGUAAGUAACUGUGCACAUCUUGACGGUACCUAAUCAGAAAGCCACGGCUAACUACGU
rnacentral:rRNA from 1 species